AUUGAACGCUGGCGGCAUGCUCUACACAUGCAAGUCGAACGGUAACAGGCCGCAAGGUGCUGACGAGUGGCGAACGGGUGAGUAAUGCAUCGGAACGUGCCCAGUCGUGGGGGAUAACGCAGCGAAAGCUGUGCUAAUACCGCAUACGAUCUAUGGAUGAAAGCGGGGGACCGUAAGGCCUCACGCGAUUGGAGCGGCCGAUGUCAGAUGAGGUAGUUGGUGGGGUAAAGGCUCACCAAGCCAACGAUCUGUAGCUGGUCUGAGAGGACGACCAGCCACACUGGGACUGAGACACGGCCCAGACUCCUACGGGAGGCAGCAGUGGGGAAUUUUGGACAAUGGGCGCAAGCCUGAUCCAGCAAUGCCGCGUGCAGGAAGAAGGCCUUCGGGUUGUAAACUGCUUUUGUACGGAACGAAAAGGUUUGGGUUAAUACCCUGGGCCGAUGACGGUACCGUAAGAAUAAGCACCGGCUAACUACGUGCCAGCCGCCGCCGUAAAAC
rnacentral:rRNA from 1 species